UCUGUAGUUCUAAAAUGGUGAAACUAUAAUAUAUAUUUUUUUUAAAGAUUGAACAUAGUCAAAUCAUAGUGUGAAAGCAGGUGAGCUGGUUGUACUAUUUUUGGCAAUUUGCUGGUGUUUUGUGGUGGUAAACUGAGCAGGUUGAGCGUAACAUGUCAACUCUGUUACCCAUAGAUAGACAGGCUAGAAAUGUUUGAACAAUUUAACACUUUUUGUGAAACUUUAAGAUAAAUAAUGAAAUCGUCAACCCUGUUACGGUCAACCCUGCUUCUUUAUUUGCCACUUAAAGUGGAAAUCAGCAGUAGAAACAAUUACAAAGCUGUUCCCCUCCCCUGUUUGGGUGAAAAGCUGAGGGAUGGGGCUGGAGAACUGUAACCACUCUGAAAUAUCAAAAUGAUCGUUUAACUGUGUUUUGCGGCUAUUAUGGCGUUUGUUAAAAUGUACUUUGUUUACCAACAUUGGAAUAGAGCAAGCUUAUAUUUUGGGUUCUGAUGGUGUAUGACAGUUGAACUACGUUCAUGAGGCAUUUAUAAGUUAUAUUCUUCAAGAAUCAAUGGUAACAUAUCAUUAAUUUAUAAGUCCAAAAAUGGAUGUAGCAACUGCUGAUUGCCCCUUUAACAGUCACUUACUAUAGUCAUUUUUUUAACCUCUUGAAUUGAUUAAAAGGGUUUUUAUGAAGUUGAACGUGUGUUAUUUAUGAAAUAAUGUUAAAAUGAGGUGAAAUCAAACCAAGUUACAUUUCUCAAAAUGCAGCAAAUUGGUGGAACAACGCUAUUAUGAGCAGCAUGAUUGUCACGCCCUGUGGCCUGUUGCACAAAAGUAGAAUUAAGACAUCCGGGAUAAAUGACUCAGCUGAGCUCAAUGAAGCCAAAACAUGUGCGUCCAGGCUUAAUUGGUUGCACAAAGACCAAGCCAGGAUGAGCAGACACGGAUUCAUUAAGCCAGGUGAAACCAAUCCUGGAUAGGUGCGCGCUCACGGCUCACUCAAAUAGACCCCGCCACAGAUUAACUGAUUUACCAUGGCAACUAGAGCCGCGUACUUUUCCCCGUCGGAAGCACAAAUCCUCAUGGAGGCAUACGAGGAGGUAAAAGAUAUAAUUAAGAAGAAAGGCAACACCGCCACAGUGAUAAAGCAAAGAGAAAAAGCGUGGCAAAGUAUUGCAGACCGCCUGAAUGCGUAAGUAGUGCACAAUUACACACUCACCGCUCCGCUGAAACAUCACAAUUACAAUUCAAAUAUUUAAUUCACAUCUCCAAAAAUGCAGUUGUACUGUAAUUAUGAAACGGUUAAAUUUUUAAUUGAAAUGCACUGCAGAUAUGAGUGAAAUUGUGUAAAGUAACUCCAUCACACUGUAUAAAGCUAUGAUACAUUUUUUGAUAUUUUUACUGAAAACAAGACAAAAAUACCAAGUAAUUUUUUUGCAGUGUGACUCCAUUGUGUGUGUGUGUGUGUGUGUGUGUGUGUGUGUGUAGAUUAAACAUGAACGGGCCAAAACGGACAUGGCAGCAGGUCAAAAUCAAAUACAAGAACAUUCUGCAGAAUGCAGUGAAAAAGAAUACCCACAGACAAGGCACGGGUGGUGGGUCACCAAAGGCUGACCUUACCCCAGCAGAGGACAUGGCCUUGGAGCUAAAUAAAGGCAGGCCCAUCUUAGAGGGGAUCCCUGGGGGAAAGAGACGAGCAUAGGUUCCUCCCAAGAUGCCACCCGCUUCAUUCAAGUGCCUGGCAGCACUGUGUUCCUGUUAGAGCCACCAGCACAAGCACCAGACGAUGCUGAUCCAGGUGAAGGCCCCAGUGCAGCAGCAACAGCACAUGAUGGAGACGAUGAUGAGGAGGAGACCAUCUCUCUGGAUUCCAGAAGGCAUGAGGUAUCAUGUUAAGACUGUGAAAGUACUAUUUACUCUACAAUGGUGAGGAGUCCUCAUCAAAAUCAAAAAUCUCAUUUCUUUUACAGGACCCAGAUGCUAUACAGUGGGAAAACCAGCCUGGCAACAUAGUGCGUAUUAAUAAAAGGACACCACAUCCUGCCAAAUUCCAGCUGCGCUAAUUGUAUUGUGUUCACAGAGCUCACAAGCUAUCAGAAAGUUGUAUGGCAACCACCUCCGGCGCCAAAUAGAACUGGCAGACAUAGACAUUCAGUACAAGAAGAAAAAGAUGGAAAAUCUUGCACUGGAGUCCGAAAUAAAAAAGAGGACAAUUAGGAAACUGGACCUUGAAAUAAAAAAACUUGAGAGGGAGCUCCAAGAAGAUGACACAGCUCAAAAUAAAAAUUAGGUAUAUUCUCGUAAAGUCAAGUGAGCCAUGACAUAUGAGCUCUUAUUGUGAGCACACAGGACGGUGGCAUCUUUCUAAGGUUUUUUUUAUUUUCCCAGCAAUCAGUACAACCAAGUCAUCGUUAUAAGGCAUCGCCCUCUUUUGCCCACCCCCAGCACCAGGUGUGGCCACUAGCCUAUAUGAAGGCCCAAAAUUGUGUGUUCCUUUCUGCUCUGACAAUGGCAUGCCCAUUCGUGCGAGAUGUGGUGGAUGAAGAAGCACUUGUGCUGAGGAGAGCCUUCAGGCGAGAAAGGGUCUUCAGGGACCGGUUGGACCCACUGGCCUUCCCUGAUGACCAUCUAUAUGAAAGAUACAGGUUUUCUGCAGAUGGCAUCAGGUAUCUAUGCAGACUACUGGGUCCCAGGAUUAAGCACCGCACUGCACGGAGCCAUGCACUGAGUGUGGAGCAAAUGGUUUGUGUGGCCUUGCGUCUUUUUUUGCUAGUGGAGCCUUCCUGUACUCAGUGGGGGAUGCAGAACAGCUGAACAAGGCCACAAUUUGCCGCACAAUAAGGAGUGUGUGUCUGGCUAUCAAAGUAUUAGCAGAUGUCUUCAUCUCCUUCCCUGGCCACAGAAGACUCUGUGACAUCAAAGAGGAGUUCUAUAGGAUUGCAGAUGGUCUGCAAUGCUGACUGUGUGAUCAGCAAUGUUGUGGCAAAAUGGCCUGGCUCAGUCCAUGACUCCAGAAUCUUUCGGGCCUCUGAAAUCUAUCAGUGCCUAUCACAAGGUGAAUUCUCUGGUGUGUUGCUGGGAGACAGGGGUAUGGCUGCCAGCCUUUUCUCCUGACACCUUUCACAGACCCCCAGGAAGCACAGCAGGCCUACAACCAUGCCCAUGCCAGGACCAGGGCCAGAGUUGAAAUGACCUUUGGCCUCCUGAAGGCACGCUUUCACUGCCUUCACAAAUUAAGGGUCAGCCCUGUUAGGGCAUGUGAUAUUACUGUGGCUUGUGCUGUCCUCCACAAUGUGGCCUGCCUGAGGAAGGAGAGGGCCCCCAGAGUGCCACCAGCCAUGGACUGGGACAAUCCGGCAAUCUUCCCUGAUGACGACAGUGGUCGGCUGCUGAGGGACCAAUAUGUGUUGAAUUAUUUUAGUUAGUAUGUGUGCUUUCAAUUUUGGUUAAAUAUGUCCUGCGGUGGCAGAGGAAUUUGGUUUUUUUUUUGGGUUCGUUUUUUGACCAAUUUGGCCUCUUAUGAUGUUUGUGCGGUAUACUGUGUGUAAUACAAGGCUGCAGGAGGCUACUGCAUCCAUUCAUUUGUCUGUUCAGUUGAUGUGUAUGGAUUUGUCCUGCAUUUAUUUUAGUGUGCAGACAUGCAGGGUGUGUUAUAUACAGACCUUUGAAUGUGUAUGUAUCAUUUUGUAUAAUAUGCUUGGAUUCUGUGCUUUCCAUCUUGUAGAGUCACUGUGACUUCAGUUUCGAAAGGAGCUGAUGGUUUACCUGCUUUGUUUUGUCCUUAUUCAAUAAAGGAACAUAAUGUUACACAUUGUGUUUUUAUA